rnacentral:pre_miRNA from 1 species
GACAUGAAGAGGAAGAAAAGAAGACCUAAGAACAGUGGACACGGGAACAUGAUUGAAGGCUAAAGCCCUCAUUCCUCGUCUAACGCUAGAGGAGGCUUUGGUUUGAGUUUUUGUGAUGCCUCCCAUGCCUAUUGUUCUUUGGUGCUCCUUCCUCUUCCUUUUGGGU